GACGAACGCUGGCGGCGUGCCUAAUACAUGCAAGUCGAGCGGACAGAAGGGAGCUUGCUCCCGGAAGUUAGCGGCGGACGGGUGAGUAACACGUGGGCAACCUACCCUGUAGAUCGGGAUAACAUCGAGAAAUCGGUGCUAAUACCGGAUAAUCAUUUGAAGUGCAUGCUUCGAAUGUAAAAGAUGGCUCCGGCUAUCACUACGGGAUGGGCCCGCGGCGGAUUAGCUAGUUGGUAAGGUAAUGGCUUACCAAGGCAACGAUGCGUAGCCGACCGGAGACGGUGAUCGGCCACACUGGGACUGAGACACGGCCCAGACUCCUACGGGAGGCAGCAGUAGGGAAUCUUCCGCAAUGGACGAAAGUCUGACGGAGCAACGCCGCGUGAGUGAUGAAGGUUUUCGGAUCGUAAAGCUCUGUUGUUAGGGAAGAACAAGUGCCGUUUGAAUAAGGCGGCACCUUGACGGUACCUAACCAGAAAGCCACGGCUAACUACGUGCCAGCCGCCGCCGUAAUAC
rnacentral:rRNA from 1 species